GGGUGGAAGGGGUUGCCCUUAGCAGGUGUACAGCCCGUCACCUGAUUGUGCCUGGUGCACGUGACGUGACGUUACACGGUAGCUCACAGUGACCCGCACUUCCUAUUUGUUUUAAAUGCCAUUCACGCGGCAAACGCAGCAUGUUUGGUUUGGCUCUGUCGGCGGUGAAUAUUAAGCACAAUACGGAUCUGCUUGUUCGUUGGAAUAUAACGCCAGUAGGAUUGUGAAGUGUUGCCUCUAACAGACGAACAGUUUUCACACCUACAACGCAUUUGGAACACUGGCGUCUUAACAUCGCAUGCGGGAUUUUAUGAGGAACACUGUAUAUCACUGUUUUUCCCAUAGCUAAUUUAUGAUGAGACAAGCACUUGAAUUGAGCUAC